rnacentral:rRNA from 1 species
AACGGCCAUACCAUGCUGAAUAUACCGGUUCUCGUUAGAUCACCGAAGUCAAGCAUCAUUGGGCUCGGUCAGUACUUGGGUGGGUGACCACCUGGGAACACCGCGUGCCGUU